GAUGAACGCUGGCGGCGUGCCUAACACAUGCAAGUCGAGCGAUUCUCUUCGGAGAAGAGCGGCGGACGGGUGAGUAACGCGUGGGUAACCUACCCUGUACACACGGAUAACAUACCGAAAGGUAUGCUAAUACGAGAUAAUAUGCUUUUAUCGCAUGGUAGAAGUAUCAAAGCUUUUGCGGUACAGGAUGGACCCGCGUCUGAUUAGCUAGUUGGUAAGGUAACGGCUUACCAAGGCGACGAUCAGUAGCCGACCUGAGAGGGUGAUCGGCCACAUUGGAACUGAGACACGGUCCAAACUCCUACGGGAGGCAGCAGUGGGGAAUAUUGCACAAUGGGCGAAAGCCUGAUGCAGCAACGCCGCGUGAGCGAUGAAGGCC
rnacentral:rRNA from 1 species